CCUACGGGUGGCUGCAGUGAGGAAUAUUGGUCAAUGGCCGGAAGGCUGAACCAGCCAAGCCGCGUGAAGGACGAAGGUGCCAAGCAUGGAAAACUUCUUUGGUCAAGGGAAAAAAUCAGGCGCGAGAGCCUGACCGAGGGUACUUGAAGCAAAAGCGUAGGCUAAGUCCGAGCCAGCAGCCGCGGUAAUACGGAGGCGGCGAUCGUUAUCCGGAUUUAUUGGGAGAAAAGGGAGCGAAGGCGGAGCGUUAAGUCAGCGGUAAAAGCCCGGGGCUUAACCCCGGCGAGCCUUUGAAACUGUCUGUCUUGAGAUGUCGAGGGGUGUGUGGAAUGCCAAGUGUAGCGGUGAAAUGCUUAGAUAUAGGGCAGAACUCCGGUGGCGAAGGCAGCAUUCCGGCUGCGAUCUGACGCUGAGGCACGAAAGCGUGGGUAGCGAACAGGAUUAGAUACCCGGGUAGUC
rnacentral:rRNA from 1 species